ACAGGCCGGGUCAACUCUCGAACAAAGUUUGGUUAUACCUACGGGGGCUAGACCUGUGGUGUCAUCAUCCAUACGGUUCUACCGUCUGGUAGUUGUAGCAAUAUUAUUAUCGUUAGUAGCUCACGCCUGACAUAAUAUUGUGAUGAAUCUAAUACAUUUUUAGAUUUAAAUAUGACUUUAAUAACUGAAUAAAUACUUUUCUUCUACAAAAAUAUAGAGAGACACUCUUGUUGAAUAUUGUUUUAGUAACGUAUGGGUAAGAUUUUCUAAACGAAGUGUGGCAACCCCAAUUUCUUAAUAAAAAAUAAAAAUGUUAUAAAAUGAAAAUGGCGUCAUUUCACCAAAUAUUUUAAAACACAAGUUCACAAAUAAUAAAAUAAAUGUUUGCCACGGCCUGUUAAUAUUUAUGAAGACCUCUUCAUGGAUUAGAUUUAAGCAACCUGCUGUGUAAUAUCCUCGCCAUUCUUGAUGUUGAGAAGAUCUAUAAGUCUUUUACGUUUCAUCUGAGUGUUGUGGUUUUUCAUUAUGUUAAAAAUAAGACUUUGUUAGUUCAAGUGUCUCUAUAAUUAUGAAGAAGAACAAAAGAAAAUGCUUUGAGUGUGGUUCUUCGCCUGCCGAUGAUCCAGAGAAGACCCUACAGAGAUUACCGAAACUUGAUUCUACAAAUUUAGUCUCCGUAAUGUCCAGAUAAUCAAUGAUUAGACCAUUGGACUUUUAGAAUAAAUUUUACAUUGAACUAUGAAUGGUUUGUCAUCUACAUUUUUAAAAAAGACGAGAUGUUUUGCCUGUAAGAAGAAGAGAGAAAGAGAGAAUAAGAAGGUGUAGCAAAAUAGAAGAUGAAGGUCUAGCUGUGCCAGUGCUGAGCCACACAGUUGCUGCUGGCAUGUUUGCAAAAUAGCACAAGGUGUAGCAAAAUAGAAGAUGAAGGUCUAGCUGUGCCAGUGCUGAGCCACACAGUUGCUGCUGGCAUGUUUGCAAUAUAGCACAAGGUGCUGUAAAAUGAAGAUAUAUUGUUAAAUAUCAUGAGAUAGAAAUAAAAGAUGAAAAUCUAGCUGUACCCGUCCCGAGCCACACUACUGUAGCCACGUUGCUGCUGGCAUUUUUGCAAAAUAGCACAAGGUCACAACAAUUGAUGUAACAAAUAUAAUCAAUGGACCAGGCACCUGCACCAUGAUUCUUUGGAAUACUAAAAUUCGUCUCUUUAUGUCUGUACUUCUCAUAAUGAAAAAUGUCACGUUUUUAUGAAAGAAAUAAUGGAAUCAAAUAAUAAAUAAAACAAGCAUAUGCUGGAAGUCCUCAGAAACAGCUCCGACUUUAAUGAUUUUUUUAAAGUCAUGUUUUUUAUGUUAUUUAAAAUCAGAAAUGUUUUGGUGGACGAAAUUAUUUAAAUUGUUAAAAAAUAUCUAUGCUAUUUAUACAUAUAUAUUUUUUUUAAAUACAACCGACUUCAAAAAUACAAACUUAUGCAGAAAACUAACAAAAGAAAGAAAAUAUUAUAAUAUUUUCUAUCUAUUGAUCACUUUGAAGGCGGUGCCAAUGGUCCAAUUAAUGGGCCGACAAUUAGUUAUCUAUUGUUUACUAGCUAUAGGGUUCGAAUUGCUUUUUCAUAUGUUUAAAAGACUAUCUUCGGAAUGAACCCUUUAUAAUAAAAAAGUAUUAUCAAAAUCGGACCGGUCCGACCUAUUUAACCAUUAAUUUUAGUAUACAACCGAUCGGUUGUAUACUAAAAUUAAUGGUUAAACAAUCAAUCAUCCCCUGUUUUCGUAAUGUAAAACCAAGCAUAACUGUUAACAUGAGUAGUCCGAUUUUGAUAAUUCUUUUAAUUGAUAAUUCUUGAUUGUUUUAGUUUAAAACCAAGCAUGUCUUCGAAUUCCGAUUUAAAUAACUUUGUUUUAAAUAGAAAGGGUAUAUUCCGACAAUGGUCCCAAAUCAUUAUAAAUUUAAAAAAAUCGAAGAUGACUGGUUAUUUUCCCAUUAAUUGUAUUGUAAAACUAUGCGUAACUUAUUACGAAGUGGUCCGAUUUCGUAAAUUCUUUAUAGAUUGUAAAGGUAUUUUGAUUGUAAAGCUCCCAUAUAAAUUUUAAAAAAACAAUUCCAAUCCUAAAUGUGCGAUUGAUUGUUUUCUCAUUCAUUUUAAUGUAAAACCAAGCAUAACUUUUUAUUGGGUGGUUCGAUUUCGAUUAUUCUUUUUUUGAUAGAAAGGGUAUAUUCCUAAUAGUCUCAUAAAAUGUUGGAAAAAACAAUUUCAAACCUAAUAGUAGGAAAAUAGAAGAUGAUUAAUUGUUUUUGUUUAUUUUUUAAUUAUUUAUUAUAUAAAUAGCAUAACUAUUGUUAAAUAGUAUAAAUCGUUCCAUCCUCACUCCAAAAGGUUUCUGAUUUCAAAUAAUAUGAAGAAACAAACUGAACAAAAAAAAUCAUCAAAAUCAGAGCUGUUUGAGGAGGUAGAGGGUAAAUGCUCUAUUUGAUUCGCCUAAAAGUAAUAUUAUGUUAUCGCAUUAGGUUGUAAAGUUUGGCUAAUGAAAGUAGAGACUGAAAUUGCCCGCCAAAUUUAAAAAUCACAUGCGUUUUCAUAAUUUAUUUAAAUUAGUUUUUCUUUGUGAAUACAUUAUUACCUAUACUAUAAGUGUUAAACUCAGUUAUUCCAAUAUUUGCACUAUAAUUUUGAGAAUUUACUCCGAUUUUUUAAAAUUUGGCGGGUGAUUUCAGUUUCUACUUUCAUUAGCCAAAUUCUAAUAAUUUUAUUGUUUAUGAAAUUUAUACUAAUUAGAAAGAGAAAGAAUUUGAUUAUUUGUUUGUUUGCAUUGAAUAGGCUCUGAAACUACUUUGCUGAUUUAAAAAUUUCUUACAGCAUUAUAAUCAUGGAUUAGGCCAUAAUUGUUAUCUCUGUAUUCCCACGGGAACGAGAACUACGCUGGUGAAACUGCGUGACGUUUGCAUAGUUUAUCAUAUGUACGAAUAUCCCGACAAUCUAUAUUUUUAUGUAUGAAUUGGUUAAGUUAUAAUUGACUUGAUUUUCCCAAAUAUCUCAGUGAAGUCAAAUACCCAAUUGAUGCAUAGAUAUAUUUUUAUUUUGGUUUUCAUUUUACUUUAAAGAUAAAAUUUAGUUUUAGAAGCAAAAUGAAUAUAUGUAGAUUAUAUUUAAGGUGCUGAUGUUUACUUAGUAAUUGAUUAAGUGCAUAACAUAUUUAUUUGAUAAUAAAGACAUUUCAACUUGAAACUGUUA